AGUGAACGCUGGCGGUAGGCCUAACACAUGCAAGUCGAACGGCAGCACAGUAAGAGCUUGCUCUUACGGGUGGCGAGUGGCGGACGGGUGAGGAAUACAUCGGAAUCUACUUUUUCGUGGGGGAUAACGUAGGGAAACUUACGCUAAUACCGCAUACGACCUACGGGUGAAAGCAGGGGAUCUUCGGACCUUGCGCGAUUGAACGAGCCGAUGUCGGAUUAGCUAGUUGGCGGGGUAAAGGCCCACCAAGGCGACGAUCCGUAGCUGGUCUGAGAGGAUGAUCAGCCACACGGGAACUGAGACACGGUCCAGACUCCUACGAGAGGCAGCAGUGGGGAAUAUUGGACAGUAGGCGCAAGCCUGAUCCAGCCAUACCGCGUGGGUGAAGAAGGCCUUCGGGUUGUAAAGCCCUUUUGUUGGGAAAGAAAAGCAGCAGGUUAAUACCCCGCUGUUCUGACGGUACCCAAAGAAUAAGCACCGGCUAACUUCGUG
rnacentral:rRNA from 1 species